rnacentral:snRNA from 1 species
CCCACCCUGGAAACGGCU